rnacentral:rRNA from 1 species
CCUACGGUGUGCAGCAGUGAGGAAUAUUGGUCAAUGGACGAGAGUCUGAACCAGCCAAGUAGCGUGAAGGAUGACUGCCCUAUGGGUUGUAAACUUCUUUUAUAUGGGAAUAAAAUGUUCCACGUGUGUGAUUUUGUAUGUACCAUAUGAAUAAGGAUCGGCUAACUCCGUGCCAGCAGCCGCGGUAAUACGGAGGAUCCGAGCGUUAUCCGGCUUUAUUGGGUUUAAAGGGAGCGUAUGUGGAUUGUUAAUGCAGUUGUGAAAGUUUGCGGCUCAACCGUAAAAGUGCAGUUGAAACUGGCAGUCUUGAGUACAGUAGAGGUGGGAGGAAUUCGUGGUGUAGCGGUGAAAUGCUUAGAUAUCACGAAGAACUCCGAUUGCGAAGGCAGUUCACUGGACUGCAACUGACACUGAGGCUCGAAAGUGUGGGUAUCAAACAGGAUUAGAUACCCGGGUAGUC